UAAAGUGCGAUAUCUAAUGUGAUUUGCAUGAAUCUGUGAGUCAUCUAGUCUUUGAACGCAACUUGCACCUCUCGAGAAAUCGGGAGGUAUGUCUGUUUGAGAACCAAAAACCUUCUUGCUACCAGCUUGCUGGAAGCAGAUUUGAGACACUUUGGGUGUCUUGAAAUGAAGCAUGCAGGGCUGUAAGCGUGUGCCAUGUGCUAGAGGCCUUUGGGUCUUGUCAUGGUGUGCGGGAGCAGCCGAAUCUUUACGCUUUUUUAGGUCUCAAAUCAGGCAAGAUUACCCGCUGAACUUAA
rnacentral:misc_RNA from 1 species